rnacentral:rRNA from 1 species
CAGCCGUAAACUAUGCUCGCUAGGUGUCAGGCAUGGCGCGACCGUGUCUGGUGCCGCAGGGAAGCCGUGAAGCGAGCCACCUGGGUAGUACGGCCGCAAGGCUGAAACUUAAAGGAAUUGGCGGGGGGAGCACAACAACGGGUGGAGCCUGCGGUUUAAUUGGACUCAACGCCGGACAAACUCACCGGGAACGACAGCAAUAUGUAGGCCAGGCUGAAGACCUUGCCUGAAUCGCUGAGAGGAGGUGCAUGGCGUAGACGU